UACGGAGGGGGCUAGCGUUGUUCGGAAUUACUGGGCGUAAAGCGCGCGCAGGCGGUCUUCCAAGUCAGUGGUGAAAGCCCGGAGCUCAACUCCGGAAAUGCCAUUGAAACUGUGAGACUUGAGGAUGAGAGAGGUGAGUGGAAUUCCCAGUGUAGAGGUGAAAUUCGUAGAUAUUGGGAAGAACACCGGUGGCGAAGGCGGCUCACUGGCUCAUUUCUGACGCUCAGGCGCGACAGCGUGGGGAGCAAACAGG
rnacentral:rRNA from 1 species